rnacentral:rRNA from 1 species
UACGUAGGGGGCUAGCGUUGUCCGGAAUCAUUGGGCGUAAAGAGCGUGUAGGCUGCUCGGUAAGUCCGCUGUAAAAGUCAAAGGCUCAACCUUUGAAUGUCAGUGGAUACUGCCGGGCUAGAGUCCGGAAGAGGCGAGUGGAACUCCUGGUGUAGCGGUGGAAUGCGCAGAUAUCAGGAGGAACACCGGUGGCGAAGGCGGGUCUCUGGGCAGUAACUGACGCUGAGGAGCGAAAGCGUGGGGAGCGAACAGG